rnacentral:rRNA from 1 species
AAACCAACAGGGAUUCCCUUAGUAACGGCGAGUGAACCGGGAAAAGCUCAAAUUUGAAAUCUGCCAACAGGCCGAGUUGUAAUUUGUAGAUGGCUACACUGCAUAAUAGUAGAUGCUCAAGUUCUUUGGAAAAAGACAUCAUGGAGGGUGACAAUCCCGUGAGGCAUGUUACUAGGAGCAUAUAGUGGGCUUUCUAAGAGUCGAGUUGUUUGGGAAUGCAGCUCAAAGUGCGUGGUGAAUACCAUGUAAAGCUAAAUAUGGACGAGAGACCGAUAGCGAACAAGUACUGUGAAGGAAAGAUGAAAAGCACUCCGAAAGGAGAGUGAAAUAGUACGUGAAAUUGUUAAAGUGGAAGGGCUUGAGAUCAGAAUUGGUAGUUUGGGUUCCACGUCCUCUUGGGGGCGUGUACUCCCUUUCCACCGGGCCAGCGGGAGUUUCGUCUCUUGGGUAAAAGCAGUGGAAUGUAGCAGCUUGUCUGUAUUAUAGCCUCUGUUCAUACAAGACGUCGAGACUUGUUUUUGUUGGCGUAAUGAUCUCUAGCCAC